CCAGUGAGCAGAAUAAUAAGACAUAAUUUAACAUUUAUGCUUUCAUGAAUGCGUCAUAUCACAAACAUUCCACAACAAGGAUGAAUUUGUCACCAAUUAGCCCCUAUCUUUCUUACUUAUACAUGCCGGGGGCGUAGAGCCGUAGCAGGCACACCCGGACUUCCAUAAUCUGUCAUAGUGCCAGGGGCGUAGAGCCGUAGCAGGCACACCUGGACUCACAUAGGCUAUCAUGACAUACAAGGGCUAAUGGAUCAUUCAA
rnacentral:lncRNA from 1 species